rnacentral:lncRNA from 1 species
UUAAAAAUUAGAAAUACUUCAAAUAUUUUCAAUAAACAUUUAAAGUAUUCCAAAACAUUUCAUACUUAAAAUUAGUUAACCUUCAAACUUAAAUACAACCUAAAAGAAUAUGUACUACAGUCAUUUGCUAUAAUACAACUUCAAGUCUCCAAAAGAAAAUAACGUAGUGCUAUUCAUGAGCACUCUCUAUCUUGAACCCUGUUGAGGAAAACAAAGGAGUGAAAUGAGCUAAACAACCUAGUGAGAUUCCAAAACACACAAGCAGUUCUAAUAAAUCAAGUAAAUUAAGCAUAACGCACAUAUGGGUCAAGGUUUCACAUUGACACAUUAAAAUAAGGCAUUUAUCAUUUUACAGAAAUAAACACACAUUAAAAGAAUAUGGUGUUCAUGUGGAACUAUUUUGGUCGGCUUCACCUUAUAACUCCAAUAAUUCUCUCGGUUUGUCUGGCCAUCACCUUAUUCCUCCAGUGGUAAUACUCGAGUAUACUGAAACGGUGACCCAGGUUUCCAACCUACCCAACCGAGUCUAGUCCUGGCUCGAGCAGGUUAGCAACCAAGGGUAGGGCCUAGUUCAGCUAAGAGCUUACAACAUGUGCAAAUAAUCAAAUAAACCGAUAAACGGUAGAAAUUCACAGUUAAACAGUAGAAAUUUGUUAUUUUAGUAGGUCGAGUAUGAUAAAGUACACACUCACCUUAAAACGGUGAAAAAUUACAUAGGAGCAAUUAUAAGGAGUACUUAACACUUAAACACACAAGAAAUAUGAAGUAAACAUGUAGCAAAACUAUUCAAGUCACACACACAUGUAAGGAACACUCACUGUUAUGUGCGAUAUGUCUCGGUUCCUGGAUAACACCCUUGAUUACCCUCGAGUCCUGAGGUAAGAACCAACAAGUUUAUAUGAAAGUGAAAAGCAAAACCUUAGGGUUUUCGCACUUAAGAAGUGAAGAAACAAGAGGUUGGUAUAUAAUUUUCAAAUGUAUAAUAAAGAAUAAAACAAGUCGUUAUAGCCUUGAAUCAAACCUUUUCAAAUUCAAAGUUCAAAAGUAAGAAUGAACCAUGAGAAAUCAAGUUCUGGGUCAAGAAUUAAGCAUAAUAAAGAAUAUUAAGGUUUCUCAUUUAAAUCCAAAGAAACGUCAAGUACAAGGGUUUGAGUGUAAUAUGGAGUACAAAUGUUAAUUUGAACUAAGAAAAAUGAAUGGAAUCAAGAAAAGUGAAGAAAAGAAAUACUAAAGAGAAAAUGUAUAGGUGAUAACUUUGUCAUGUGUUGGUAUUCUGAUCAUAACUAGGGCUAUACAAAUCAGAUUGAGAUCAUUUCUAUAUUUUUUUUGAAGCUAAGACACAGGGCUACAUUUCUUAUGAAGACAUCGGGUUCAAGAUUAGACGUCUUCAGGGUCAAAAAUGAACAUUUCAGAAGUAUAAGGAAAACGAUUACAGCAAAUCAGGGUUUUCACUGCAGACAAGGUCUUCUGGUCAUUUCAGAGGCUACGAUGAUCUGAUUGAUCUGAACUUUUGCAGGUAGAAAGCUGGCUCAAUACUCUACAAAUUUCAUGUUUUGAGCAAGAGGUGGUUUGGCCUAAACGAUGGACAAAUUCGGUGCUCAAAUGACUCUUAAAACCUCUCUAAACAGAAAGUUUUCAACUCCAGCAACCAACUUUGAAAAAAUCAAAACAGGGAUUUUGUAAGUCCAAAAAUCACCAAAUUUUGACACAAGAAAGUAGAUUUGAAGAGCUACAUAUUUCUAGAAGGUCACUUUAUAAGAUUCAGACCACAAACCAGUCAGAUUUUAACUAUACAAUACAGCAACUACAAAACUAAGGCAUAAUAGUCUCAAAAUUUAUCAAAUUUUGCAAAAUCACCAUAAAUCACACGGACAGAACCAGGGUCUGGAAUUUUCAUGGUUUAUAGCCCUAUGAAUCUAGUUUCAAAUCAUUAAAUAGAACUCAAUUUUGACCUUCCUACACCAAGAUACAACAGAUUUCCCAACACUGCUCUAGCUACCCUGUUUCGUACUAGCUUUGGUCACAGUACACAACUUCAUGCAAAACAACAAGAAAUCACCUACUAAAGCCUCAAUAAUCAUCAUGAACUUCAUACCACAGAUUAAAUACAACAUAGCAAGGUUAAUCAUGGUCAUAACUCUCAAUUCAAGUCUUGCAAAUUAACACUAUAAAGCUGAAAUUUUCACAACAUCACUUCAAACCAUGAAACCUUCUCAUAAAACUACCAAUUUUGCAACCAUAAGCCACUAAUUAGCAAAUAUUUGAAGUAGAGGGAAGUAUCUUGCCAAGUUACCUUGAACUUCCAAGAAAGAUGGAAACUUAGUGCUUUUCCACCAAAAAUCUCUCCACUCAAGCCCUUAAUCUUCCCUAGUGAAUAACUUUUAUGGAGUGGUUUGCAAAAUCUAUGGUUGGAACUCAAGAUUUAAGCAAGAAAUUGGUGGUUGAAGAUGAAGUUUCCUUUCCUUUUUCCCUCUCAAUGGUUUGGCCAAGCUAGG